rnacentral:rRNA from 1 species
CAAUCAAACCGGGAGAUAGCUGGUUCUCCCCGAAAGCUAUUUAGGUAGCGCCUCGUGAAUUCAUCUCCGGGGGUAGAGCACUGUUUCGGCUAGGGGGCCAUCCCGGCUUACCAACCCGAUGCAAACUGCGAAUACCGGAGAAUGUUAUCACGGGAGACACACGGCGGGUGCUAACGUCCGUCGUGAAGAGGGAAACAACCCAGACCGCCAGCUAAGGUCCCAAAGUCAUGGUUAAGUGGGAAACGAUGUGGGAAGGCCCAGACAGCCAGGAUGUUGGCUUAGAAGCAGCCAUCAUUUAAAGAAAGCGUAAUAGCUCACUGGUCGAGUCGGCCUGCGCGGAAGAUGUAACGGGGCUAAACCAUGCACCGAAGCUGCGGCAGCGAACGUAUCACCCAAGACAACUUUACGGAGUUGACGAUUGACGGAGCGAAGCGACGUCAAAGCGUUCAUUAAAGUCGAGUUGGCUUAGGGAUACGUUCGUUGGGUAGGGGAGCGUUCUGUAAGCCUGUGAAGGUGUGUCGUGAGGCAUGCUGGAGGUAUCAGAAGUGCGAAUGCUGACAUAAGUAACGAUAAAGCGGGUGAAAAGCCCGCUCGCC